ACGCUGGGCGGGACACAUUGGUUCAGCUGGGAGCAUUUAAAUUCCCCUCACUUGGUGUCUAGCUGUCUCUCUGGCAACACCUUCAUAUGCAAGCUCUCACUUAUGUUUGGCUCCUUUCUUCCAUGUUAUCUAACAAGAAGUGUCGGCCCAUUGCCUUUCGCAUUCACACAUUGGGGAAAUCCACAGUGCUCGCUGUCUGUCCAUGUGUCCCUACCUCAGCUCCCAUUCCGGACAAUUUUAACGGCCUUGGUCCUGCACUCACAUCUAUACAGUUGACAUCACCAUUGCAUUCGCCCCUGAAGAGUUGGUAUAUCCCAAUGAAACGCGUCGGGCAUAUAUAGAUGCAUGAUGUUGAUACAGAUGAU